rnacentral:rRNA from 1 species
CAGAGGGGGCAAGCGUUGUUCGGAAUUACUGGGCGUAAAGGGCGCGUAGGCGGCUUGGUAAGUCGGGGGUGAAAGUCAGCGGCUCAACCGCUGGACUGCCUUCGAGACUGCCUGGCUUGAGCAUGGUAGAGGCUGGCGGAAUUCCCGGUGUAGCGGUGGAAUGCGUAGAGAUCGGGAAGAACAUCGGUGGCGAAGGCGGCCAGCUGGGCCAUUGCUGACGCUGAGGCGCGACAGCGUGGGGAGCAAACAGG